rnacentral:lncRNA from 1 species
CCAAUUUGAGGUUUUCUUUUUCUUGUAGCUUUGUAGUUUAGUUUAGGCUUUUAGUUCUGUUCUUUUGUGUUUACUUUUCUUAGUCUUGUUCAUAUACAUUGUGUGCUCUGUUGAAUUUAGUUUUCUUAGUUUUAUUCUAUUAUAUAUAUUCUUUUUCAAUUUUAGUUCUUUUUCAUUUCUGUUUUGAAUAAGUCUAAUAAUGUUUGUCCUGUUUGAUUUGUACAUACUUGUUUUGCUAUUGUCCAAUUCUAGCCAUUUUUGUGUUUUUCAAUUUCUGUUAUGUAAAUAUCUGAUGCUGUUUGUCUUGUAUAUACCUUUUACAUGUCUUUGUUUGUUAUGUGUGGUUUAGGAACCUUACCCACUCACACAUUGAGGACAAUGUGCCUCUUAGGUGUGGGGGUGGGAAGGUAUAGGUGAAAUUUUUUUCCUGAUAUAAAUAACUUUGUUUAGCUCUAGUUUUAGUAAUAAAAUAGGGGUAAAUUUUUUUUUUCUGUUUUCUCUUUAUUUUUAGGUCUGAUGGAGUUUAUAAAUAGCUAGUGUAGUUUAUUAUUUUUGUUGUGGUCUGUAAAUACCUAUUUUUGUUACUGCUUUGUUUUAGUUUAGUUUUUAGCUUUGAUGAUAAUUGUUCUUAGGUCUAAAGUUCUUUC